rnacentral:sRNA from 1 species
ACGCGAGAGCAACACAAUAUGUUGGGGGGCACGUGAUAGGGUAGCCGUAGUACCCACUAACACACACGACAGUCAGUGACCUGAUAUAUGCCCGCAACCACCAUACAUCAUCUGUAGUUGGGUUCAUGGUUUUGUGUCCACAAAAAACAAAGAAAAAAAAAAAAAAAAAAAACUAGCCGA